UACAGAGGUCCCAAGCGUUACUGAGAAUCACUGGGUUUAAAGGGUGCGUAGGUGGUCCGUUAAGUCAGUUGUGAAAUCCCCGGGCUUAACCUGGGAAUGGCCUAUGUGACUGGCAGGCUAGAGGAUGGCAGAGGGAGGCGGAAUUCCACGUGUAGCAGUGAAAUGCAUAGAGAUGUGGAGGAACACCGAUGGCGAAGGCAGCCUCCUGGGCCAAUUCUGACGCUCAGGCACGAAAGCGUGGGGAUCAAACAGG
rnacentral:rRNA from 1 species